GACGAACGCUGGCGGCGUGCCUAACACAUGCAAGUCGAGCGGGGAUUUAAGUGGAAGUUCUUCGGAAUGGAGAUUUAAAUUCUAGCGGCGGACGGGUGAGUAACGCGUGAACAAUCUGUCCCGGACAGGGGGAUAACACUUGGAAACAGGUGCUAAUACCGCAUAAGACCACGGCCUCGCAUGGGGCUGAGGUAAAAGGAGCAAUCCGGUUCGGGGUGAGUUCGCGUCCGAUUAGCUAGUUGGUGAGGUAACGGCCCACCAAGGCGACGAUCGGUAGCCGGCCUGAGAGGGUGAACGGCCACAUUGGAACUGAGAGACGGUCCAAACUCCUACGGGAGGCAGCAGUGGGGAAUAUUGGGCAAUGGGCGAAAGCCUGACCCAGCAACGCCGCGUGAGGGAAGAAGGUUUUCGGAUUGUAAACCUCUGUCCUAUGGGACGAAGGAAGUGACGGUACCAUAGGAGGAAGCCCCGGCUAACUACGU
rnacentral:rRNA from 1 species